AUUGAACGCUGGUGGCAGGCUUAACAUAUGCAAGUCGAACGAGUGGCGGACGGGUGAGUAAUGCUUGGGCAUCUAGCUCAUGGAGGGGGAUAACUACGGGAAACUGUAGCUAAUACCGCGUACCAUAGUCUGAGCCCACGUGGGAUUAGGUAGUUGGUGCGGUAAAGGCUCACCAAGCCGACGAUCCCUAGCUGGUCUGAGAGGAUGACCGGCCACACUGGGACUGAGACACGGCCCAGACUCCUACGGGAGGCAGCAGUGGGGAAUAUUGCGCAAUGGGGGCAACCUGACGCAGCCAGGCCGCGUGAAUGAAGAAGGUCUUCGGGUUGUAAAGUUCUUUCGGUAGAGAGGCGUUAACUACAGAGAAAGCACCGGCUAACUCCGUGCCAGCAGCCGCGGUAAUUC
rnacentral:rRNA from 1 species